CUAAAAACAAAAGGGUAAUACCUCUCGGGAAACCUAUACCUUUUGGCGGCCUCCUUUCUUAUUAAAGGAACCUGUUUUAUAAUCGAAAUUACACGCUAAAUUUAACUUUUCUCAAGCCUUUAUACCAUCGUCUUUAGAAUAAUUUCCAAAAAUCUACUCAGAAUGGCCCCUCAUACACUCAAGUCAGAUCAAGGUGAAGCUUUAUAGAAAAGGAAAAAUGGGUUAUCUAUAAAAGCUAUUUAAGAAUUUUGAAUAAAAAUUCAAAUGAAUUAAGAUUUGAAAGUACCUAAAAAUUAAAAUUUUUUAGAGAAAAAGUAAAAAGAGGUGU
rnacentral:rRNA from 1 species